GCGUGUGCAUUCCAUUUUCACUCUACAGCGAGAAGCUCAUGGGGCUUUCCCGAACCUGAGUCGAGAGCUGGAGUUCAAUGAAAUCUCAGAUUUGCCUUCUUUUUUCGGUCCCUCACUUCCGUUUAGCUUCUUUCUUCUCAUGCAUUGAUUCGCUUGAUUGAAUCAAUCGGAGUGAUUUCUUGGCCGACGGCCUACUGAUUCGACAUGUCGAAUCGGCGGCGGUAGGUGUCGGCACGGCCGAAAAUACACGACGGUGCAGUACACACGAAUCUGAGUAGGGCGACACGACUUUCAUCGACGGCCCAACAUCUAUCGACGCUGAUAAUCGGCUCGGUAUGCCUUCAGCGGGAACAAUAAGCCCACCAUGGUGCCGAUCCCAAAUGCCAGUUGAGUUCGGCACGGCCAAUCAGAUGAGCAGGAACGACAUCAGCAGACUGAACACGCUGUACAAAUGUCGAAAGGGGGUGCAGAAACCCUGAGGACAUGGGGCCAUUUUAAAACAUCAAACCAGCUCUUUAUAGCACAGACUGAGAAAGUGUGUUGAUAAUAAAUCUUCAAACAUG